AUUCCACACAGGAAGGUCACACCAUCCCCCACUGCUACAAGGAUGAUGAGUUGACAGGUAUAAAAGCUGAGGCUAUAGAAGAAGAGAGGUAUGUGAGGGAUGAUCAGCAGUCUAUGGAGGAGGAUAAAAUAAUAAGGCUAAUUAUAAAGGAGGACACCCAUACAGAGAUCAGCACAGUAGAUGGACGGGAGAUGAGGAAAACCUCAGAGGAUUGUUU